ensembl:miRNA
UUGGCUAAAGCACCUGCCUUGUAAGCAGGAGAUCCUGGGUUCAACUCCCAGUGGUGCCUUGUUGUAGCC